rnacentral:rRNA from 1 species
GAGGUUAAGCGACUAAGCGUACACGGUGGAUGCCUAGGCAGUCAGAGGCGAUGAAGGGCGUGCUAAUCUGCGAUAAGCGUCGGUAAGCUGAUAUGAAGCGUUAUACCCGACGAUACCCGAAUGGGGAAACCCAGUGUGUUUCGACACACUAUCAUUACGUGAAUACAUAGCGUAAUGAGGCGAACCGGGGGAACUGAAACAUCUCAGUACCCCGAGGAAAAGAAAUCAACCGAGAUUCCCCUAGUAGCGGCGAGCGAACGGGGAGGAGCCCAGAACCUGAAUCAGUUUGUGUGUUAGUGGAAGCGUCUGGAAAGUCGCACAGUAAAGGGUGAUAGUCCCGUACACAAAAAUGCACAGAUUGUGAGUUCGAUGAGUAGGGCGGGACACGUGACAUCCUGUCUGAAUAUGGGGGGACCAUCCUCCAAGGCUAAAUACUCCUGACUGACCGAUAGUGAACCAGUACCGUGAGGGAAAGGCGAAAAGAACCCCGGCGAGGGGAGUGAAAUAGAACCUGAAACCGUGUACGUACAAGCAGUGGGAGCCUUGAUUAAUCAGGGUGACUGCGUACCUUUUGUAUAAUGGGUCAGCGACUUAUAUUCUGUAGCAAGGUUAACCGUAUAGGGGAGCCGCAGGGAAACCGAGUCUUAACUGGGCGUUAAGUUGCAGGGUAUAGACCCGAAACCCGGUGAUCUAGCCAUGGGCAGGUUGAAGGUUGGGUAACACUAACUGGAGGACCGAACCGACUAAUGUUGAAAAAUUAGCGGAUGACUUGUGGCUGGGGGUGAAAGGCCAAUCAAACCGGGAGAUAGCUGGUUCUCCCCGAAAGCUAUUUAGGUAGCGCCUCGUGAAUUCAUCUUCGGGGGUAGAGCACUGUUUCGGCUAGGGGGUCAUCCCGACUUACCAACCCGAUGCAAACUACGAAUACCGAAGAAUGUUAUCACGGGAGACACACGGCGGGUGCUAACGUUCGUCGUGAAGAGGGAAACAACCCAGACCGCCAGCUAAGGUCCCAAAGUCAUGGUUAAGUGGGAAACGAUGUGGGAAGGCACAGACAGCCAGGAUGUUGGCUUAGAAGCAGCCAUCAUUUAAAGAAAGCGUAAUAGCUCACUGGUCGAGUCGGCCUGCGCGGAAGAUGUAACGGGGCUAAACCAUGCACCGAAGCUGCGGCAGCGACACUUAGGUGUUGUUGGGUAGGGGAGCGUUCUGUAAGCCGUCGAAGGUGGCCUGUGAGGGUUGCUGGAGGUAUCAGAAGUGCGAAUGCUGACAUAAGUAACGAUAAUGCGGGUGAAAAACCCGCACGCCGGAAGACCAAGGGUUCCUGUCCAACGUUAAUCGGGGCAGGGUGAGUCGACCCCUAAGGCGAGGCUGAAAAGCGUAGUCGAUGGGAAACAGGUUAAUAUUCCUGUACUCGGUGUUACUGCGAAGGGGGGACGGAGAAAGCUAGGUUAUCCGGGCGACGGUUGUCCCGGUUUAAGCGUGAAGGUGGAUGACUUUGGUAAAUCCGGGUCGUCAUUAACACUGAGGCGUGAUGACGAGUCACUACGGUGAUGAAGUAACCAAUGCUACGCUUCCAGGAAAAGCCUCUAAGCUCCAGGUAACAUCAAAUCGUACCCCAAACCGACACAGGUGGUCAGGUAGAGAAUACUCAGGCGCUUGAGAGAACUCGGGUGAAGGAACUAGGCAAAAUGGUGCCGUAACUUCGGGAGAAGGCACGCUGAUGGUAGGUGAAGUGACUUGCUCACGGAGCUGAAAUCAGUCGAAGAUACCAGCUGGCUGCAACUGUUUAAUAAAAACACAGCACUGUGCAAACACGAAAGUGGACGUAUACGGUGUGACGCCUGCCCGGUGCCGGAAGGUUAAUUGAUGGGGUCAGCCGCAAGGCGAAGCUCUUGAUCGAAGCCCCGGUAAACGGCGGCCGUAACUAUAACGGUCCUAAGGUAGCGAAAUUCCUUGUCGGGUAAGUUCCGACCUGCACGAAUGGCGUAAUGAUGGCCAGGCUGUCUCCACCCGAGACUCAGUGAAAUUGAACUCGCUGUGAAGAUGCAGUGUACCCGCGGCAAGACGGAAAGACCCCGUGAACCUUUACUAUAGCUUGACACUGAACCUUGAGCCUUGAUGUGUAGGAUAGGUGGGAGGCUUUGAAGCGUGGACGCCAGUCUGCGUGGAGCCAACCUUGAAAUACCACCCUUUAAUGUUUGAUGUUCUAACGUGGGCCCGUGAUCCGGGUUGCGGACAGUGUCUGGUGGGUAGUUUGACUGGGGCGGUCUCCUCCCAAAGCGUAACGGAGGAGCACGAAGGUUAGCUAAUCCUGGUCGGACAUCAGGAGGUUAGUGCAAAGGCAUAAGCUAGCUUGACUGCGAGAGUGACAGCUCGAGCAGGUGCGAAAGCAGGUCUUAGUGAUCCGGUGGUUCUGAAUGGAAGGGCCAUCGCUCAACGGAUAAAAGGUACUCCGGGGAUAACAGGCUGAUACCGCCCAAGAGUUCAUAUCGACGGCGGUGUUUGGCACCUCGAUGUCGGCUCAUCACAUCCUGGGGCUGAAGUAGGUCCCAAGGGUAUGGCUGUUCGCCAUUUAAAGUGGUACGCGAGCUGGGUUUAGAACGUCGUGAGACAGUUCGGUCCCUAUCUGCCGUGGGCGUUGGAAGAUUGAGAGGGGUUGCUCCUAGUACGAGAGGACCGGAGUGAACGCACCACUGGUGUUCGGGUUGUGAUGCCAAUUGCAUUGCCCGGUAGCUAAGUGCGGAAGAGAUAACCGCUGAAAGCAUCUAAGCGGGAAACUUGCCUCGAGAUGAGUCUUCCCUGGGUACUUGAUACCCCUGAAGGGCCGUUGAAGACUACGACGUAGAUAGGCUGGGUGUGUAAGCGUAGCGAUACGUUGAGCUAACCAGUACUAAUGACCCGAGAGGCUUAACCUUA